GUGAGGAGAACAGGGUGUAGCGAGUUAGCUUCUCCGGGUCUCGACAGUAAGUUCUUCAGGAUUUGAGCAGCACUGAGGCAUCGGAAAAAUUUGAGGACCUUGACGCGAGACGAGUAUCUCGACGUCGGAUUUGG